UACGAAGGGGGCUAGCGUUGUUCGGAAUUACUGGGCGUAAAGCGCAUGUAGGCGGCCAAGCAAGUCGGGUGUGAAAGCCCAGGGCUCAACCCUGGAAGUGCACUCGAAACUGCUCGGCUGGAGUCUCGGAGAGGAUCGCGGAAUUCUGGGUGUAGAGGUGAAAUUCGUAGAUAUCCAGAGGAACACCAGUGGCGAAGGCGGCGAUCUGGACGAGUACUGACGCUGAGAUGCGAAAGCGUGGGGAGCAAACAGG
rnacentral:rRNA from 1 species